rnacentral:misc_RNA from 1 species
GAUGAAGAACGCAGCGAAAUGCGAUACUUGGUGUGAAUUGCAGAAUCCCGUGAACCAUCGAGUCUUUGAACGCAAGUUGCGCCCGAAGCCAUUAGGCCGAGGGCACGCCUGCCUGGGCGUCACACGUCGUUGCCCCCCCAUCUACUCCUUCGGGAUUGCGGGGGGCGGAUGAUGGCCUCUCGUGCGCCUCGUCGCGCGGUUGGCCUAAAUGCCAAGUCCUCGGCGACGCACGCCACGACAAUCGGUGGUUGCGAAACCUCGGUUGCCUGUCGUGUGCGGUCGUCGCGCAUCGAGGGCUCGAAAAAAUUGCCGGGCUUCGGCUCGACUUUCAACGCGGCCCCAGGUCAGGCGGGGUUACCCGCUGAAUUUAAGCAUAUCAAUAAGCGGAGGA